rnacentral:rRNA from 1 species
GACGAACGCUGGCGGCGUGCCUAAUACAUGCAAGUCGAGCGCUUGCAACUUGAGAAAGCUUGCUUUCUCAAGUUGCUGGAGCGGCGGACGGGUGAGUAACACGUGGGCAACCUGCCUAUAAGACUGGGAUAACUUCGGGAAACCGGAGCUAAUACCGGAUAAUCCUUUUCCUUUCAUGAGGGAAAGCUGAAAGACGGCUUCUCGCUGUCACUUAUAGAUGGGCCCGCGGCGCAUUAGCUAGUUGGUGAGGUAACGGCUCACCAAGGCGACGAUCAGUAGCUGGUCUGAGAGGAUGAUCAGCCACAUUGGGACUGAGACACGGCCCAAACUCCUACGGGAGGCAGCAGUGGGGAAUAUUGGACAAUGGGCGCAAGCCUGAUCCAGCCAUGCCGCGUGAGUGAU